GUUGUAGCUCAGUGGCAAAGCAUCUGCUUUGGAUACAGAAGGUCGCAGGGUUGAUUCCAGGCUUCUCCA